rnacentral:rRNA from 1 species
UUAGAGAAUCUGCCCUGUACUGGGGGACAACAGAGGGAAACUUCUGCUAAUACCCCAUAUGAGCGUACCUGCGAUGGUAUUCUUGAAAGUUCCGGCGGUACAGGAUGAGUCUGCAUCUGAUUAGCUAGUUGGUGGUGUAAUGGACUACCAAGGCGACGAUCAGUAGCUGGUUUGAGAGGAUGAUCAGCCACAAUGGGACUGAGACGCGGCCCAUACUCCUACGGGAGGCAGCAG